UCUCUCCUCAUUUAAACAGAGAGGAGUCUGGUCUUGUACGACAGGAAAUAACUGCCCUGCAGCAUUUCCAAGAUGGUUGCUGAGUGAACAGACUUUCCUACAAGGACUUCUGUAAAAACACCCAUACCAACACCACACACACUACCAUUCAGUGACCAUGUUAGUGUCAGUGCUGUGCUGAGAAUGGUCCACCUCUCAUAUAAUAUCAGGCCAGUGGUGGCCCUAUGGUGGUCAGUUGGCUGAUAGAUUGUACAAUGUACAAAGUGAACUUAUAUGAUAGGUGUUUCUGAUAAAAUGACCGAUGACUGUAGAUAGUGUUUCUAAUAAACUGUUAACUCAGUGUAGUUUGCUUUCUUGAGAGCAUGCUUGUUCUUGUAAAAUCUGUGAUGAACAAGAUAAUUGUGCCCCUGCCCUCCCUUUCCUGGUGAUUGCUCAAUCAUGGAUUUUCAUGUUCUGGUCCAACGUCUAAAUCGGUUGUGGAGACAUGUGAUCAGGAGGGCUGGCUCUGGCCUGCGUAAACUAUUUAAAACCAGAACAUGAAGGAGUUGGACUCAAACCAGGAGUGAAAUCAAAGCUCUGAAACAAGUGUCUACUUGUGCUGAAUAGCAUCCAAGAAUAAUGAAGCCCCUGCUUGUGACUCUCCUUCUUGCCAUGCUGUUGAUGAGUGGUUCUGCCCCUCUGUGUGUAAAGGGAAACCACAAGUGAAUGCCCA